rnacentral:lncRNA from 1 species
AAUAAAUGGAUAUUUUCCAGAAAAUUUCUGAUCCUGAAGAUCAUUUUCCCAUGGAAAUAUGUUCUUUUGGAAAGACUUUCAUUAGCCCCAGUAAUAGUGAGUUCAGUGUCCAGUUCACAUACAGUAGCAUCUCCUUUUACGUACACUAAUAUUUAUCUCUUUCUGCCUCUCUGUCUACCUCUGCCCAUUUGAUAGACAUCCUGAGCAAGUGGGUUAGUCAUAGGAUAGGCAGUCCAGAAAACAAAGUUUUAGUGUUGUCACUAACUUGACAUAUAAUUUUGUCUAGGCCACAUAUUUUCCUUCAAUGACUGUAAGAGGUAUUUAGUUAGACUUCUAGUUUUUCAGCAUAAAGCUUUUCUUUUUCUGCCUGAUAAAUUCUUGUCUUAUAGAUAGGGAACACAAUCUUGCUUUGACCUCUCACUGCUGUUGUCCUACAAAAGAUUAUAUGUAUUUUGACCAAGUUCUUCCCACUGUUUUGCUCCUGGAAGCACCUGUCUCUAUACUUCCACUUUAAGCUUUCCAUGAUACAAUUUAAAUGCUUUUUUAAUGCUUUUUCUUUUUUUUUUUUUCUCUCCUUUUUUCCCCCAGUUUUGAACUGUGAGUACAUCAGGAUAGAGAGUUUAUGUUGGUGUUUGUGGGUACAGGCUCUUGACUUAAGUAUCCCCUCUAUGGUGAACAGCAGCUCCUUCAUGCAGCAAGUGCUGAAGAACUACAGGAUGUUGGAUUCUUGCAGUUUGGAGAUGGAGGGGCCAUUGACAUGAAGCCUUUUGGACUGAACCCUUGUGUUGGGGAACCCGGUAGACCUGAGUCCUGGUUUGAGUGGUGCAGAGAGCCCUGUUCAGCCUUCUACACCCCUGUGCAGUGCUCUCCUCCUGUCAAGUGAUUCACCAGCAGCCAGGAAGAGCCCAGGAUGAUGUCAUAUGCCUCCUUUAUGCUGUGCAAGUUCUUACAGGGCUGUAACAGAGUAAGAUUUGCAGACUCAUACCAUUCAUGGAUGCCAUGUCUGUAGAAAAUGCAGCAACUUUACUUCCAAGAAAGGUUUCAAUUAAGUAAGUGAGCUAAAACAUUUGAAACUCUGUUGACCCAUUUGCUAUGACAAGACCUUUCUAUUAAGAGUGCCAAGAAUUCUUCUGAAAUCCUUGUGUGGUACUGAUUCAGUUUAGAAGUUACCACUUUUACAAACUCAUACUUGGUUAUUUAGACUCACUGAUAUCCACAAAUCUGUCAGACUCCUGAGCCAACUUGUGUCCAUGAAAUCACUCUACAAAACCUAGGUCUGUCUAUGGCUUGUAGGGUUCCUCAGAUCCUGUGCUGAAGAUAAACCUGAAUCAAAAUGGAAGGAAAGAUUUCUCAGGUUUGGUUUGGAUUGUUCAAAUACAUUAGGCUGCAGUGAGGAUUUUGUCACUGAACAUUUCUGGUUAAAACAAGGAGUAAUAACCUGCAGUGCGAGCAGAAUACAAUGAGUUUCCCCACUCACUGUUUUUGUAAGCAAAUCAAGUCUUUUAAGGCAAGUUAAUGAUAACCUUUCCUCUACAGCACUCAGCCCUGAAGACACCAAGUUGGAACAGAUGGGUAAUGCACUGGUAUUUCACAAUAUGUUCAGAGAAAAAGCUGCACCCAGAAAUUAAAAUAAAGCUCUAGGUGCCAAAUAGCA